rnacentral:rRNA from 1 species
AACGAACGCUGGCGGCAUGCCUAACACAUGCAAGUCGAACGAGACCUUCGGGUCUAGUGGCGCACGGGUGCGUAACGCGUGGGAACCUGCCCUUAGGUUCGGAAUAACUCCCCGAAAGGGGUGCUAAUACCGGAUAAUGUCUUCGGACCAAAGAUUUAUCGCCUUUGGAUGGGCCCGCGUUGGAUUAGCUAGUUGGUAGGGUAAAAGCCUACCAAGGCGACGAUCCAUAGCUGGUCUGGGAGGAUGAUCAGGCACACUGGGACUGAGAGACGGCCCAGACUCGAACGGGGGGCAGCAGAGGGGAAGAUGGCACAGUGGGCGCAAGCCUGAUGAAGAGACGCCGCGUGGGGGAUGACGGCGGGCGGGGAGGAAACUCCUUUCGCUAGGGACGAAGCUUUUGUGACGGUACCUAGAUAAGAAGCACCGGCUAACUACGUG